rnacentral:lncRNA from 1 species
CCCGCAGCCGCCGCGUCGCCGCCAUUUUUUAAAGGGUCCGCAGCCUGACUCUGCGGAGUAAGGGGGGCUGGAGCGGGGGGAGUCGGCCUCGCCAGUGCGCAUGCGCGAGGCCCAAGCCGCCGCUUGGGUCAAAGUGAAAGCCACCGUUGCCCGGGGAUGGGUCCCUGACACUUGGCGAAGUAGGAGCCCUGUGUGAUCGUGCGUCUGAGUCUGGGCUGAGACCAGUCCUGGCCAGGGCAGUUACCAGGACGGUCUCCGGAGGCCGGGAUUCGCGGAGGGUCCACCAGCAGGAAGAAACCCCAAGAGGAAGAAACCUCAGACAGAUCGCCGGCGAGGCAGCGCGGGAUCCCAGCCUCAGGCGUGCGCGGACGGUGUGCGGGUGGAAACCCCCUUCCCAUGGGGUGAAGCGCAGUCUGCUCCAGAGACCCACUGUUAGGGUCGGGGAUGUCACAGAAAUUAACAGGGCAGCCAAUUCCCAUCCAGAGGGGCCCAGGAUGACCCCGAACCCUCUAGCUCAGCCCCAAGCUCGGGCCAGGGAGUGAAGCCUUUGUCCCCAAGCAACAGAGUGAGGGUCUGUCUCUAACCCGGUGGGCUCCAGUGAAAGGAAAAUGGCCUGGAGGUGCCCACAGGAGGGCGCCCUAGUUCUGAGACAGGUCUACGGCUCCCAGACUGUGUCCCCAUGAGUAACAGAGGGACACGCAGAGGGGCAUACUGAGUGCCUAUAGGGGACUCACAGACUGCAGAUGCACGCUGCGGAUCCAGAAGCCGGUCAGGUAAUGAGGUGCAGAGGUGUGGGGAAGACCUGGGUGCCUCCCUGGGUGCCAACCAGCCUAACCAGCCGGGGCCACCAAACAGAAGUGCUUCUGACAUUAACGCGACACACAGAAGGUGUGUAGGGUGGGUAGUGGAAGUGACCGCAGAGGCCUCUGGGGAUUGUAGUUUUGGAGCUAGAGAGGCAGGCAAGCAGUUGGGUUCGCCCACACGGUGUGCCUCUCACAUCUGCACAGCGCACACAACCAAGCUUAGGAGCCGACUGUUAAGAUGCCCCAGUGACACGGACAAGUUUCUCCUCUGCAACCCAAUGAGAGCUGCUGACCACGAGAGCAUCGCGGGACCGCCAAAGGAUUCUGGAAAAUGUGGUCCCGGGUGGCCAGUGUGCGCUGACCUUCACCUGAAGGUGAGCUGAGCUCACCAUGCAAGUCUCCACCCUGGGGUGCCCUUCCCCAAGCAGAUGCCAGGUUGGGGCAGAAGCAGUUCAGGGAGAAGCGAUGCGCUCCUGGGACUGCCGGUUUGGGGGCAACAUCGGCCCUGUGUCCCCUAGAGUAGGAGGGUGUACCAGGAUGGGGAACCCCAAGGCCGUUUUCAGGGAGAACAAGAUUGGCUUGAGGCAAACUCCCGGAAUGGAGAUGGGGAGAGUCUGGUCGCAUUUCCCCAGGAGUUUAGGGGAUGAAGGCUGGACUUGGGUGAACAGCAAAAGAUCCCCUGGUGAUAGUGGUGGUGAGGAUCAGAGGCUUGAGCCAGAAAUUCCCGAGGUGUUUGUUUGUUUUGUUUUUUUUGAGACAGAGUCUUGAUCUGUCUCCCAGGAUGUAGUGCAAUGGCAUGCUCUUGGCUCAUUGCAACCUCCGCCUCCCAGGUUCAAGCGAUUCUCCUGCCUCAGCCUCCCAAGUAGCUGAGAUUAUAGGCACCUGCCACUGUGCCCACCUAAAUUUUUUUUGUUUUUUUGUAUUUUUAGUAGAGACGAUGUUUCACCACAUUGCCCAGCCUGGUCUCGAACUCCUGACCUCAAGUGAUCCACCUGCCUCGGCCUCCCAAAGUGCUGGGAUUACAGGCAUGAGCCCCCACACCCAGCUCAUUUUUAUCUUUUAACUUAAAGGUUUUUAUUUUUCUCUAUUUUUACUCUUACAGGUACGGCUUGAAGGAAACUUCUGGAGGGUGGGGUGGUGUUGAAGAGAAGGCACAAUUGUCACCAUUUUGUUCAACAUGGGCGUUUUCUUUGUGCAUUGAUUUGCAUUUUUAAAGGAACUCCUCCUCAAAACAGAAGAAGCCUAUAAGACUUUAACCUGGAAACUACUCAGGGAAUCUGGAAUAUUCCUU